GACGAACGCUGGCGGCGUGCCUAAUACAUGCAAGUAGAACGCUGAAGAGAGGAGCUUACUCUUCUUGGAUGAGUUGCGAACGGGUGAGUAACGCGUAGGUAACCUGCCUUGUAGCGGGGGAUAACUAUUGGAAACGAUAGCUAAUACCGCAUAACAAUGGAUGACACAUGUCAUUUAUUUGAAAGGGGCCAUUGCUCCACUACAAGAUGGACCUGCGUUGUAUUAGCUAGUAGGUGAGGUAAUGGCUCACCUAGGCGACGAGACAUAGCCGACCUGCGAGGGGGAGCGGACACACUGGGAAUGGCACACGGCCUAGACUCCACCGGGAGGCAGCACUAGCGAGAGCUUGAGCAAGGUGUGCGAUCCUGACCGCGCUACGCCGCGUGAGUGCAGAGGGUGUUCGGAUCGUGACGCUCUGUUGUCAGUCAAGAACCGGUGUGAGAGUGCAAAGUUCGCACCGUGACCGUAGCUUACAAGAAAGAGACGACUACCUACGUG
rnacentral:rRNA from 1 species